rnacentral:rRNA from 1 species
GAGUUCGAUCCUGGCUCAGAUUGAACGCUGGCGGGAUGCUUUACACAUGCAAGUCGAACAGCAGCACGGACUUCGGUCUGGUGGCGAGUGGCGAACAGUGAUAUCAUCAUGGAACGUGCACAGUAGCGGGGGAUAACUACGCGAAAGCGUGGCUGUACCAUACGCCCUUCGGGGAAAGCAGGGGACCUUCGGGCCUCGCACUAUUAGAGCGGCCGAUAUCGGAUUAGCUGGUUAGUGCGUUAACGGCUCCUGCGGGCCGACGAUCCGUAGCUGGUUUGAGAGGACGACCAGCCACACUGGGACUGAGACGGCCAGACUCCUACGGGAGGCAGCAGUGGGGAAUUUUAGGACAAUGGGGGAAACCCUGAUCCAGCCAUCCCGCGUGUGCGAUGAGGCGCUGGGUUGUAAGCACUUUUGGCAGGGAAAGAAUCGGCACGGGAUAAUACCCGUGCAACUGACAGUACCUGCAGAAUAAAAGCGCCGUAACUACGUGCCAGCAGCCGCGGUAAUACGUAGGGUGCAGCGUUAAUCAGGUUACUGGGCGUAAAGCGUGCGCGAGCGGUUCGGAAAGAAAGAUGUGAAAUCCCAGAGCUUAACUUGCAGAACUUGCAUUUUUAACUACCGAGCUAGAGUGUGUCAGAGGAGGUGGAAUUCCGCGUGUAGCAGUGAAGUAAAGCUGGAAUAUGCGGAGAACUGCUUGAUGAAGGCAGCCUCUGGGAUGUUUGGCCGCUCCAUGCACGAAAGCGUGGGGAGCAAACAGGAUUCGAAUGCCCUGGUGAUCCACGCCCUAAACGAUGUCAACUAGCUGUUGGGGCCUUCGGGCCUUGGUAAAGCGCAACUAACGCGUGAAGUUGACCGCCUGGGAGUACGGUCGCAAGAUUAAAACUCAAAGAAUUCGACGGGGACCCGCACAAGCGGUGGAUGAUGUGGAUUAAUUCCGAUGCAACACGAAAACCUUACCUGCCUGCUGGCGCGUAGAUCCCGAAGAGAUUUAGGUGUCGCAAGAGAACCGGAACACAGGUGCUGCAUGGCUGUCGUCAGCUCGUCGUGGAGGAUGUUGGGUUAAAGUCCCGCAACGAGCGCAACCCUUGUCGUGCUUAGUUGCUACGAAAGGGCACUCCUAAUGGGAGCUGCCGGUGACAAGCCGGGGGAAGGUGGGGAUGACGUCAAGUCACUCAAGCUUGCUAUGGGUAGGGCUUCACGUCAUCUGGUAAGUUCCGGGACCGAAGUUAACUAGCCCGCGGGGAGCCAAUCCGAAGGCAGUCGUAGUCCGGAUCAUGAUCGCAGCUCGACUGCGUGAAGUCCAGGAAUCCGCUGUGAAUCGCGAGGAUCGCUGUGCGGUGGACCGUUCCGGUCUGUACACACCGCCCGUCACACCAUGGAAUUAAGGUUUUACCAAGUAGUUAACCUAACCGUAAGGAGGGCGAUUACCACGGUAGGAUUCAUGACUGGGGUGAAGUCGUAACAAGGUAG